GAUGAACGCUGGCGGCGUGCCUAAUACAUGCAAGUCGAGCGAACAGACGAGGAGCUUGCUCCUUUGACGUUAGCCGCGGACGGGUGAGUAACACGUAGGUAACCUACCUAUAAGACUGGGAUCACUUCGGGAAACCGGAGCUAAUCCCGGAUAAUAUUUCGAACCGCAUGGUUCGAUAGUGAAAGAUGGCUUUGCUAUCACUUAUAGCUGGACCUGCGCCGUAUUAGCUAGUUGUUAAGGUAACGGCUUACCAAGGCAACGAUACGUAGCCGACGUGAGAGGGUGAUCGGCCACACUGGAACGGAGACAGGGUCCAUACUCCUACGAGAGGCAGCAGUAGGGAAUCUGCCGCAAUGGGCGAAAGCAUGACGGAGCAACGCCGCGUGAGUGAUGAAGGUCUUCGGAGCGGAAAACUCUGUUACUAGGGAAGAACAAACGUGGAAUUAACUGUGGAGGGCGUGACGGUACCUAAUCAGAAAGCAACGGCUAACUACGUG
rnacentral:rRNA from 1 species